rnacentral:misc_RNA from 1 species
GACACUCUUGAGUGUAUUUUCUCUUUUGAAAUUCCUGUAUUAAAUUCUUCUUCUGUGAUUGUUCUUCUCCUUGUUCUACUUCUGUGAAAUUCUAGCUUGUAACAUAUUGGCUUGAGAGGAAGAAGAAGAAUAAAAAGAAAAAAUAGGAGGAAACAAAGCUAUGAGAGUAAGAAGCGAAGAAAAUGAUGGGUAUGUGGCAUUUUCUGGGUUUGUG